AAUAUAAAUUUUGUGAUAUGACCUCACGACUUCAAAAGAAUAGCGGGUAGAUACUUCAAAGGUGUUGAAAGAAGUAGCGGCUCGAGACAUCAAAGGAGUACCGCUUUGGUCCGUGCGCAGCAGAGUCCGGUCACACACACUCUACUCAGAGAGAGCUGGAGCAGCUUAAGAACAACAACCAGUGACUGGAACAACUGAGAGAGAUGGGAGGAAGAAGAAAGCUGGAAGAAGGCUUGACCCCAUGACCCACAGGAGCACAUGAUCCCUUUCAACAAUCUAUCCUCAUACAACAAAAAAUUCUUCUUAAGGAUCAACCCAGAUGAGGGCACCAAGUGCACUGCUACUGUGGGUACAAGCUACAAGACGGGAAGAGUCGUCCAAAGAAAGGUGACGAGUAUGUGCUCCAGAGUCACCACCUUCCUCCAACAGCUCACCGAAUUUGAGUGGAUGACAUCAAACUAGUCCAGUAUGGACCACCUCACCAGAGCAUCUCUGGAUUGGAGGCUCCAUCUUGGCCUCUCUGUCCACCUUCCAGAAGAUGUGGAUCAGCAAGCAACAGUACUAUGGGUCCGGCCUUCACAAAUCCUUCUAAGCAGACUGUUCCUCCUUCCAAAGCCCAACAACUUCAGCUUUGUGGUAACAACCACACCAC